rnacentral:lncRNA from 1 species
GAUAUGUGCCAAGCUCCUCCUCACGACUUUUACACAUCUGUUAACACGAAUACGAGAUCUUCCCCCCAAAUACAUGGAUUUUAUUUCAUCCAACCACCCAUCAACAAGAUACCUUUUCACAAAAUUCUUCCUAUCUGUUAUCUGAACUGCUAUUUGCUGAGAAGCCAGCGCACUCCAAUCAACCAUUCACCAAAUUGAGUGCAUUCCUCUCGAAUAGUCGCUAUUGGCUCUUCAGUGGAAUCGCAAACUUCUCCACUUAGUCAAUAAUGGUGCUUCGGUGGAAUUGCAAACUUCUUCAUUAAGAAGCGAAAAAUUUACCAACUUAGCCUCCGUUUUUUCUCGGUGUCUCAUCAAUAAAUCGACUUGUCGUCUAUUCAUCUAAGAUGAAACUGCAUCUGCUAUGCUUCAUGCCGAUCAUCUUUUUAAAGCAUUCUACUUAAUAUCUCAUCCUUUAUUGUACGUCAGGUCUGGUCUAGGUCACCCUCUCCAAGACGUGGACGAUCUUUCUCACGAUCUCGCAGUCGCAGCCGUUCUCCAGAGGUUCGCAGACGUUACUCAAGAUCUAUUUCCCCACGCUAAUAGCUUUUUUCCGAAUGCUGUUUCUGGAGGCAAGAACAACCGAAACGUUCAUGUAACCAAAUAUCAAGAUAACAUGUUAUUUUGUAAGCAUUUAAUUUUUUACUGUCUCUCAAAUUCCAGUUACCUGCGUUAAUUGUUGUGUGGAUCAAGCAAGGUUUUAUAUAUUUCCGAAUUACUUAUACUUAAUUCGAACUUCUUACUUUUUACUUCUUACUGUUUACUUUUGAAUUCUUAGUUCUAUAAAGAGGCAUCCAGCCUUCAGUCCUGUUCAUUUUAAAUUAGUCUAAUACUAUGCAGGUGAUUCUAUAGAAGUUUGAAAGAAUAGUUUACGCAAGUGUGAUUUUGAAACUGAAGGAUGUAAUUUCUGACAAAAACUUGUAUGUAUCAUCAUGUUUCUAUCAAAUGGUCUCUUACCCAGUAUAUAAUUUUUAAUCUUUUUUUUAAACUCCAUUAUAUCCUCAAGUUUUAAUCAUUAAGAAUAGUUGAAAGAAUUGUUUGUAUCAUUGACCACAAGAUUCAGAUCUUAUUUUGAAAUUCUCAAAUAUGUAGUUAUGUAAAUAGCACUACAAGACGAUUUUAAGUAGGAGCGACCAAGAUUUUAGAACCAUCCGUAAUCAAACAGGGAAUUAAAUCAAACUUCCUAGAUCUUUUUGUGUUCGAAUAUUAC